rnacentral:rRNA from 1 species
CUGCGGCCGAUUAGGUAGUUGGUUAGGUAACGGCUUACCAAGCCAUUGAUCGGUACGGGUUGUGAGAGCAAGAGCCCGGAGAUGGAACCUGAGACAAGGUUCCAGGCCCUACGGGGUGCAGCAGGCGCGAAACCUCCGCAAUGUGAGAAAUCGCGACGGGGGGAUCCCAAGUGCCAUUCUUAACGGGAUGGCUUUUCAUUAGUGUAAAGAGCUUUUGGAAUAAGGGCUGGGCAAGACCGGUGCCAGCCGCCGCGGUAACACCGGCAGCUCUAGUGGUAGCAGUUUUUAUUGGGCCUAAAGCGUCCGUAGCCGGUUUAAUAAGUCUCUGGUGAAAUCCUGUAGCUUAACUGUGGGAAUUGCUGGAGAUACUAUUAGACUUGAGACCGGGAGAGGUUAGGGGUACUCCCAGGGUAGAGGUGAAAUUCUGUAAUCCUGGGAGGACCGCCUGUUGCGAAGGCGUCUAGCUGGAACGGUUCUGACGGUGAGGGACGAAAGUUAGGGGCGCGAACCGGAUUAGAUACCCGGGUAGUCCUAACUGUAAACGAUGCGGACUUGGUGUUGGGGUGGCUUUGAGCUGCUUCAGUGCCGAAGGGAAGCUGUUAAGUCCGCCGCCUGGGAAGUACGGUCGCAAGACUGAAACUUAA